AUUGAACGCUGGCGGCAGGCCUAACACAUGCAAGUCGAGCGGAUGAAGGGAGCUUGCUCCUGGAUUCAGCGGCGGACGGGUGAGUAAUGCCUAGGAAUCUGCCUGGUAGUGGGGGAUAACGUCUGGAAACGGGCGCUAAUACCGCAUACGUCCUGAGGGAGAAAGUGGGGGAUCUUCGGACCUCACGCUAUCAGAUGAGCCUAGGUCGGAUUAGCUAGUUGGUGGGGUAAAGGCCUACCAAGGCGACGAUCCGUAACUGGUCUGAGAGGAUGAUCAGUCACACUGGAACUGAGACACGGUCCAGACUCCUAAGGGAGGCAGCAGUGGGGAAUAUUGGACAAUGGGCGAAAGCCUGAUCCAGCCAUGCCGCGUGUGUGAAGAAGGUCUUCGGAUUGUAAAGCACUUUAAGUUGGGAGGAAGGGCAGUAAGUUAAUACCUUGCUGUUUUGACGUUACCAACAGAAGAAGCACCGGCUAACUUCGUG
rnacentral:rRNA from 1 species